rnacentral:rRNA from 1 species
AUACGUAGGGGGCAAGCGUUAUCCGGAAUGAUUGGGCGUAAAGGGCGCGUAGGCGGCCCGGUAAGUCUGGAGUGAAAGUCCUGUUUUUAAGAUGGGAAUUGCUUUGGAUACUAUCGGGCUUGAGUGCAGGAGAGGUAAGUGGAAUUCCCAGUGUAGCGGUGAAAUGCGUAGAGAUUGGGAGGAACACCAGUGGCGAAGGCGACUUACUGGGCCGUAACUGACGCUGAGGCGCGAAAGCGUGGGGAGCGAACAGGAUUAGAUACCCUUGUAGUCCACGCGGUAAACGAUGAAUGCCAGGUGUUGCGGGUAUCGACCCCUGCAGUGCCGGAGUAAACACAAUAAGCAUUCCGCCUGGGGAGUACGGCCGCAAGGUUGAAACUCAAAGGAAUUGGCGGGG